rnacentral:rRNA from 1 species
AGUGAACGCUGGCGGCAGGCCUAACACAUGCAAGUCGAACGGCAGCACAGUAAGAGCUUGCUCUUACGGGUGGCGAGUGGCGGACGGGUGAGGAAUACAUCGGCAUCUACUUUUUCGUGGGGGAUAACGUAGGGAAACUUACGCUAAUACCGCAUACGACCUACGGGUGAAAGCAGGGGAUCUUCGGACCUUGCGCGAUUGAAUGAGCUGAUGUCGGAUUAGCUAGUUGGCGGGGUAAAGGCCCACCAAGGCGACGAUGCGUAGCUGGUCUGAGAGGAUGAUCAGCCACACUGGAACUGAGACACGGUCCAGACUCCUACGGGAGGCAGCAGUAGGGAAUAUUGGACAAUGGGCGCAAGCCUGAUCCAGCCAUACCGCGUGGGUGAAGAAGGCCUUCGGGUUGUAAAGCCCUUUUGUUGGGAAAGAAAAGCAGCAGAUUAAUACCCCGCUGUUCUGACGGUACCCAAAGAAUAAGCACCGGCUAACUUCGUG